UACGUAGGGUGCAAGCGUUGUCCGGAAUUAUUGGGCGUAAAGAGCUCGUAGGCGGUUUGUUGCGUCGGCUGUGAAAUCCCGAGCUCAACCUCGGGUCUGCAGUCGAUACGAGCAAAACUAGAGUGUUGCAGGGGGAGACUGGAAUUUCCUGGUGUAGCGGUGAAAUGCGCAGAUAUCAGGAGGAACACCGAUGGCGAAAGGCAGCUCGCUGG
rnacentral:rRNA from 1 species